GAAAUCCCUGGCAAUGGAGUUUGCCGUCCCGCCGGUUCGAAGUACUUGGGAAAACCUCCUUUCUUGAAAAGAAAGGCUGAUAACUCCUACUUCAAC
rnacentral:ncRNA from 20 species